GGGGACGUAUCGAUCGACAGAUAAUAGCUCUUUUAAAUGGCAAGCCGAUGAUAGUACAAAAAUCGUAAAACUGUACUAAAAAUAACUGCUAAUGAAUCUAGCACAGAGCUUGAAGCGAUUGAGGCAUCUUAUAUGAAUCAGCGCUUCGCUCGACUCUACGCUUAAUCUUUUUAAGCCACGAGUCCAUCGAUUAUUCUUUCUCCCGAUGAAGAAUAAUUCGGUGUAAACAUGAGUCGGGACGACAGAAGUUAAUCGGUCAAUUAACUUCGGAGGAUUCUGACUAAAACUGUUGUGAUAAGUCUUUGUCAGUUAAGACCACACUUUUAAUUAAUUGACUAAGCUUGUAGAAAUUUAAAGGAAUUAUGUCUGGACGAGAGUUCACUACUCUCCGUCUCCACCA
rfam:Candidatus Gottesmanbacteria bacterium RIFCSPLOWO2_02_FTLL_38_8 rifcsplowo2_02_scaffold_21907, whole genome shotgun sequence.